CAGCGCCACAAGUGGCAAUCACGUUUAUUGGGCCUAAAGCGCCCGUAGCCGGUUUAGCACAUCUUUUGUGAAAUCGUCAGGCUUAACUUGACGAAUUGCAGAAGACACUACUAAACUAGGGACUGGGAGGAGUCAGAAGUAUUCUGGGGGGACCGGUAAAAUGGUAUAAUCCCCAGAGGACUACCGAUGGCGAAGGCAUCUGACCAGAACAGAUCCGACGGUGAGGGACGAAAGCCAGGGGAGCAAACCGGAUUAGAGACCCGAGUAGUCC
rnacentral:rRNA from 1 species